rnacentral:lncRNA from 1 species
GAAAUCAUCGAGGAGUUAUCUACUUCAAAUAAGGAAACAAAAGAAGAGUUAGAGAGACGCAAACAAACUUGCCGAGAGACGAGGAAGGCUCUUAGGGAAGUUACAGUGGACCGGAAUGAAAACAAACAUCUGAAAGAACGCCACAUGGAAACCGAGAAGAAACUCCGCAAACAGGCAGAAAAACUUCUAGCAGUUGCUAAUGUUGCAACAUCUGAUGCCAUGAAGCUUCUUGAAAAGAUUGAGCGCAAAGAUUUCGUAGAAACUACUAAUUCUGCGGCCACCAGUCAUCUCUACUCGUCUCUACAAAAUCAGUUCGACGUCGCCGCAAACAUCAGUGAACGCCAGAGCCGUAGUGAAGCAGAAAUUUUCAGCAUGCUCAACAACUUUCUUGCCAAUACUUCCAAGGUGCAAGCGGACUAUUUGGAUCGCCUCAGAGACCACCUCGGAACGAUUUGUGAUGUUUUAUCUGAAAGAAUGAGAGUGUAUGCAGACCUAUGUCAAGAUUGGGUAAGUUUCUCGGUGGUGAUUUUUAAAAAAACAAGCCCCAGAGGCGUCGAUCAAAAAUUAAAGUGUGUAAUUUAGAGAACAAUUAAAUUUUUUUUUUUUUUUUCUAAAAUCAAAAUAUGGUCAGAGUGCACUUGCUUGUCAUCUCAUGUAUGCCACUGGCAAGUAAUGAAAUCAAGAAUUUUUUCAAUUGCUGAAGCAAUGUCAAACAUUUUUCAGAUCGAAAUUCUGAUUCCAUCACUAAUUCUGGACAGAAUAAUUAUUGUCUUCAUGGAAUAGGAAUUAUUUUCGAAAAUUUGCAUCAUUCUAUGGUUGGUGUAAUACUCUCUGGCUAAAGAAUGAAUGUUCAUUUCAAAAGAUACUGAAUUAUUUAAAAUAAAGGG